UAAAUUAUACUGUAAUUGCAGACUCAGGGAACACUAGAAAGGAGAGAAUUAAGCCUACAGCUCUGGAAGGGAAAGAUUCCGGAAAAGAAGCAGAGUUGUGCCUCGUGGAACAAAUACCACUGCCCUGCAACAAGUCAUGUGAAACCUCCUCAGGGAGCUACUGGCUGUCACGAGGCUCAAGGCUCCACACAAGGAUGGACUGGCCACUCUCCAAGAAAGAAUAUCCAGGGAAAGCUUUCAAACUGAAAUCAACGCUAAGUGCACUGGUUCUCCCCUGAACUGGAGAUGCAAGUUCCCAGGGAAAUUGGCUUAUUUUAAAAGGAACAAAAAGAGAGAGAGAGAGGGAGAAACAAUGACAACA
rnacentral:lncRNA from 1 species